GAUGAAGAACGCAGCGAAAUGCGAUAAGUAAUGUGAAUUGCAGAACUCAGUGAAUCAUCGAAUCUUUGAACGCACAUUGCGCCCCCUGGUAUUCCGGGGGGCAUGCCUGUCCGAGCGUCAUUACGACCCUCAAGCUCAGCUUGGUGUUGGGCCCCGCCGCCCCGGCGGGCCCUAAAGUCAGUGGCGGUGCCGUCCGGCUCCGAGCGUAGUAAUUCUUCUCGCUCUGGAGGUCCGGUCGUGUGCUCGCCAGCAACCCCCAAUUUUUUUCAGGUUGACCUCGGAUCAGGUAGGGAUACCCGCUGAACUUAAGCAUAUCAAUAAGCGGAGGA
rnacentral:misc_RNA from 1 species